AAUUCUGGUUGAUCCUGCCAGAGGCCACUGCUAUCGGGGUUUGAUUAAGCCAUGCGAGUCGAGAGAUUUCGGAUCUCGGCAUACUGCUCAGUAACACGUGGUCAAUCUACCCUAUGGUGGAGAAUACCCCCGGGAAACUGGGUUUAAUACUCCAUAUAUGAGAUGCAUUGGAAGUAUCGUCUCAUAGAAAGAUCCGUCGCCAUAGGAUGAGACUGCGCCCGAUUAGGUUGUUGUUGGGGUAUAUGCCCACCAAGCCUAUAAUCGGUACGGGUUGUGGGAGCAAGAGCCCGGAGAUGGACUCUGAGACACGAGUCCAGGCCCUACGGGGCGCAGCAGGCGCGAAACCUUUACAAUGCGGGCAACCGUGAUAAGGAAACCCCGAGUGGAUGAACAGUCAUCCUGUCCAUCAGUUUAGAACCCUGGUGAAGAAAGGGCCGGGCAAGACCGGUGCCAGCCGCCGCGGUAAUACCGGCGGCUCGAGUGGUGGCCACUAUUACUGGGCUUAAAGGGUCCGUAGCUUGCAUGAUCAGUCUCUUGAGAAAUCCACUGGCUUAACCAAUGGUCGUUCAGGAGAUACUGUCAUGCUCGGGACCGGGAGAGGUAAGGGGUACUGCCGGGGUAGGAGUGAAAUCCUGUAAUCCUGGUGGGACCACCGGUGGCGAAGGCGCCUUACCAGAACGGCUCCGACAGUGAGGGACGAAAGCUGGGGGAGCGAACCGGAUUAGAUACCCGGGUAGUCCCAGCCGUAAACGAUGCGCGUUAGGUGUGUCAGUGACCACGCGUCACUGAGGUGCCGAAGGGAAACCGUGAAACGCGCCGCCUGGGAAGUACGGUCGCAAGGCUGAAACUUAAAGGAAUUGGCGGGGGAGCACCACAACAGGUGGAGCCUGCGGUUUAAUCGGACUCAACGCCGGGAACCUCACCAGAUAAGACAGCAGAAUGAUAGUCGGGAUGAAGACUCUACUUGACUCGCUGAGAGGAGGUGCAUGGCCGUCGUCAGUUCGUACUGUGAAGCAUCCUGUUUAGUCAGGCAACGAGCGAGACCCACGCCAACAUUUGCCAGCUUUUCCUUUGGGAAGAUGGGGACACUGUUGGGACCGCCUCUGCUAAAGAGGAGGAAGGAUUGGGCAACGGUAGGUCAGCAUGCCCCGAAUUAUCUGGGCCACACGCGGGCUACAAUGGGCAGGACAAUGGGCGUCCUCCACCGAAAGGUGUCGGUAAUCUCCUAACCCUGUCCGAAGUUCGGAUUGCGGAUUGCAACUCAUCCGCAUGAAGCUGGAAUCUGUAGUAAUCGCGUUUCAUCAUAGCGCGGUGAAUAUGUCCCUGCUCCUUGCACACACCGCCCGUCAAACCACCCGAGUAGGGUCUUGAUGAGGCCAUAUCAUCUGAUAUGGUCGAAUCUGGGUUCUGCAAGGGGGGUUAAGUCGUAACAAGGUAGCCGUAGGGGAAUCUGCGGCUGGAUCACCUCCUA
rnacentral:rRNA from 1 species